rnacentral:rRNA from 1 species
UACGUAGGUGGCAGGCGUUGUCCGGAUUUAUUGGGUUUAAAGGGUGCGUAGGCGGCUUUGUAAGUCAGUGGUGAAAUACGGUAGCUUAACUAUCGAGGUGCCAUUGAUACUGCAGAGCUUGAGUACAGAUGAGGUAGGCGGAAUUGACGGUGUAGCGGUGAAAUGCUUAGAUAUCGUCAAGAACACCUAUAGCGAAGGCAGCUUACUAGGCUGUAACUGACGCUGAGGCACGAAAGUGUGGGGAUCAAACAGG